rnacentral:rRNA from 1 species
GACGAACGCUGGCGGUGUGCUUAACACAUGCAAGUCGAACGGAAAGGCCCUGCUUUUGUGGGGUGCUCGAGUGGCGAACGGGUGAGUAACACGUGAGUAACCUGCCCUUGACUUUGGGAUAACUUCAGGAAACUGGGGCUAAUACCGGAUAGGAGCUCCUGCUGCAUGGUGGGGGUUGGAAAGUUUCGGCGGUUGGGGAUGGACUCGCGGCUUAUCAGCUUGUUGGGGGGGUAGUGGCUUACCAAGGCUUUGACGGGUAGCCGGCCUGAGAGGGUGACCGGCCACAUUGGGACUGAGAUACGGCCCAGACUCCUACGGGAGGCAGCAGUGGGGAAUAUUGCACAAUGGGCGGAAGCCUGAUGCAGCAACGCCGCGUGCGGGAUGACGGCCUUCGGGUUGUAAACCGCUUUCGCCUGUGACGAAGCGUGAGUGACGGUAAUGGGUAAAGAAGCACCGGCUAACUACGUG